rnacentral:rRNA from 1 species
AUUGAACGCUGGCGGCAGGCCUAACACAUGCAAGUCGAGCGGAUGAAGGGAGCUUGCUCCUGGAUUCAGCGGCGGACGGGUGAGUAAUGCCUAUGAAUCUGCCUGGUAGUGGGGGAUAACGUCCGGAAACGGGCGCUAAUACCGCAUACGUCCUGAGGGAGAAAGUGGGGGAUCUUCGGACCUCACGCUAUCAGAUGAGCCUAGGUCGGAUUAGCUAGUUGGUGGGGUAAAGGCCUACCAAGGCGACGAUCCGUAACUGGUCUGAGAGGAUGAUCAGUCACACUGGAACUGAGACACGGUCCAGACUCCUACGGGAGGCAGCAGUGGGGAAUAUUGGACAAUGGGCGAAAGCCUGAUCCAGCCAUGCCGCGUGUGUGAAGAAGGUCUUCGGAUUGUAAAGCACUUUAAGUUGGGAGGAAGGGCAGUAAGUUAAUACCUUGCUGUUUUGACGGUACCAACAGAAUAAGCACCGGCUAACUUCGUG